rnacentral:rRNA from 1 species
GUAGGCCUACGGGACGCAGCAGUGAGGAAUAUUGGUCAAUGGUCGGGAGACUGAACCAGCCAAGCCGCGUGAGGGAGGAAGGUACAGAGUAUCGUAAACCUCUUUUGUCAGGGAACAAAGACUGGGACGCGUCCCCGGAUGAGUGUACCUGAAGAAAAAGCAUCGGCUAACUCCGUGCCAGCAGCCGCGGUAAUACGGAGGAUGCGAGCGUUAUCCGGAUUUAUUGGGUUUAAAGGGUGCGCAGGCGGUCUGUUAAGUCAGCGGUCAAAGCCCGGGGCUCAACCCCGGCCCGCCGUUGAAACUGG